rnacentral:rRNA from 1 species
AUGAACGCUGGCGGCGUGCCUAAUACAUGCAAGUCGAGCGAACAGAUGAGGAGCUUGCUCCUCUGACGUUAGCGGCGGACGGGUGAGUAACACGUGGAUAGCCUACCUAUAAGACUGGGAUAACUUCGGGAAACCGGAGCUAAUACCGGAUAAUAUAUUGAACCGCAUGGUUCAAUAGUGAAAGACGGUUUUGCUGUCACUUAUAGAUGGAUCCGCGCCGCAUUAGCUAGUUGGUAAGGUAACGGCUUACCAAGGCGACGAUGCGUAGCCGACCUGAGAGGGUGAUCGGCCACACUGGAACUGAGACACGGUCCAGACUCCUACGGGAGGCAGCAGUAGGGAAUCUUCCGCAAUGGGCGAAAGCCUGACGGAGCAACGCCGCGUGAGUGAUGAAGGUCUUCGGAUCGUAAAACUCUGUUAUUAGGGAAGAACAAAUGUGUAAGUAACUAUGCACGUCUUGACGGUACCUAAUCAGAAAGCCACGGCUAACUACGUG